CUUGCCCAGCCCGUAAAUAACGGAGCCAAAACCCAAACCCAAGCCCGGUGCCCCCUUUCCCUGGUGCUACCUUCAGCCCCCACCCACACACGGCAAAGGCUCCUGCUGGGGCGGGGUGGGGGAGGCAAAGGGUGUCCCACGGGACAAGUUCCCUCCCCACCAGGCGACAAAGUCAGCACCCUGGGCAAGGCGCCACCUCCGCCUCCCAGCUCACAGGGGACAGUGGCCCAGGCUACCUCCGCGGCAGUUAAGACCAGACCCAGCCACCGAGCGGCAGCCCCGACAACUGCCAGGGGAACUGGGCCUGGCCCUGCCACUUGUCCGUCAUCCUCGUCGCCUCCACUCACCCAAAACGCAUCUCGGAACUGCAGCUGGGGCAUCAUCCUUGGGUCUCCGGCGGCGACGACGCUGGCGCUGUGGCCACAGGCAGGGCUGCCCGAGGGCCAGGAGCCAGCUGGAUGUGUAGUGGUCCCCUGGGAGGCUGGGAUGGGGGCGGGGAGGGACAGGGCACUUCCUGAAGUGGAGGUGGAAAAUCAGCCAGGACACCACCACAAGCCAAUGCAGCCUUUUCUUGAUUAACUGAGCAAUGGAAAAUACUUUUAAUGAGUCUAUCAAAUACAGAGCACUCCACUUCUAACAGGUUGCUGGGCAAGGCAGCCAGGGACAAGGUGUGGGCACUGGAAGGAAAGCCAGGUGCACGCGGGCGGUGGCUGUGAGAGGGGACCUCUGACCCCAGCCUGGGGCUGGACUCGGACACUGUUCUGCAGCUUCCUGCGAGGCCACACGUGGAGAGCACACUCAGGCCCGGACCAGUGUCUCCAAGUAGAGGGGACAUUCGGGCAGUGUCUGGUGACAUUUCCGUCUGCCACACGGCGGGGGGCAGGGAGUGAGGGUGGGCAUCUCCUGGACAGAGGCCAGGGAGGCUGCUGAGCACACAGGCCAGCCCUCCCCAGUGUCAAGGGCAACGUCCCAGUGCAAGGCUGAGAACCCUCGCCUGCACCUUGCUUCCCACCGCCAACUGCGUGUCAGGGUGACCUGGCCACCUCAGACCCUGUGUCUCAGCCUCCUGGGAGGGGCCAGUGGUGUCCAUACUUCUGAAAGAUAAAAGCUCCCUAGGAAUCCUAACGGGCCCCAACUUUGAGAAUCGCCUACGAAAGGCCCACAAACUGGAAAGGGAUGCAAACAAGCAGCUGAGCCGCGCGGCCCCCACCCCAGGAGGGCGCUGAGGUCCAGGUGUCACUUUCCCCAUGCACCUUCUCCACACCGAGGUCCAGGUGUCACUUUCCCCAUGCGCCUUCUCCAUGCUGAGGUCCAGGUGUCACUUUCCCCAUGCACCUUCUCCACGCCCUUUUGGGAGACCUCUCCUACGCAUGAAUUCCAAAAUUUUUCUUGCACCAAAAU
rnacentral:lncRNA from 1 species